GUCGUAUUGGAUUCUGCUGCAACAGUCCAUCGGCAUAGUGGUGAAGAACCCUCAGAAGUUGCGUCAGGUGGGCGUCUUCCUGGACGUGGACAUGGGUCAGGUGUCCUUCUAUAAUGCCAAGUCGGGUUCUGAGAUCUACAGCUUCACUGGAUCGUAUGAGUUUAGAGAGAGGAUGUUUCCUCUGCUGGGCACUGGAGACAAAGAGGUCCCCCUGGUGCUCAUCACCGCACAGCACCACCUGGCCUGAGGGGCCGGAGACAGAGCAUCGUACCAGAGCGAGAGGAGACGUAAGGAAAGAGGCGACAGGGACAGAAGAGCUCGGACACUGGAACAGAAACUUUGAGAAACUUCCAGUUGUGACUCUGUUGCCAUCAAGACUAAAUAAAACAUCUGUCCUCCUUUGAUUUGUCUUUGGAACCAGAUCGUCCUCAUGUUAAAACAAGAAAAAUCAAUCCAUUGAUCAGUGAAUCAAAUAUUAGAACAGCUGAUGUCUGAUGUUGUCACAUUCCAGAAACCUCAACUGUAAAAAACACACGUUGAUAAUUGAGUUUGUUGAUUAAUGAGUGAAUAAAGUGUCUGCAAUAAAUGAAAGAAAACAUUUGUAUUAGAACAUACAAAUAUUAAAACAUGAACUUUUGAA